GCCGCCUUGGCGCAGUGGUAGCGCAGCGCUCUUGUAAAGCGAAGGUCGUCGGUUCGAAUCCGACAGGCGGCA
rnacentral:tRNA from 1 species